rnacentral:pre_miRNA from 1 species
UUGUGUGUGGUGAUGAGGCAGUGUACUGUUAGUUAGCUGUCCUUCAUACGCCAGCAACUGACUACACUGCCACAUUAGCACAUCACUG